rnacentral:rRNA from 1 species
UACAGAGGUCUCAAGCGUUGUUCGGAUUCAUUGGGCGUAAAGGGUGCGUAGGCGGCGCGGUAAGUCGGGGUGUGAAAUCUCGGAGCUUUAACUCCGAAACUGCAUUCGAUACUGCCGUGCUUGAGGACUGGAGAGGAGACUGGAAUUUACGGUGUAGCGGUGAAAUGCGUAGAUAUCGUAAGGAAGACCAGUGGCGAAGGCGGGUCUCUGGACAGUUCCUGACGCUGAGGCACGAAGGUCAGGGGAGCAAACGGGG